GGUUAGAGCGCCACGUUGACAUCGUGGAGGUCGGCGGUUCGACUCCGUCAGGACGCACCA
rnacentral:tRNA from 1 species